rnacentral:SRP_RNA from 13 species
GCUGGGCAUGGUGGCGCGUGCCUGUAAUCCCAGCUACUCAGGAGGCUGAGGCAGGAGAAUUGCCUGAACCCAGGAGGCGGAGGUUGCGGUGAGCCGAGAUUGCGCCAUUGCACUCCAGUUUGGGUAACAAGAGCGAAACUCCAUCUCAAAAAAAAAAAAAAAAGAAACAGAGUUUUACUCUGUCUCCAGGCUGGAGUGCAGUGGCGUGAUCUUGGCUCACCGCAACCUCCGCCUCUCGGAGUCAAGCGAUUCUCCUGCCUCAG